CAAUAGCGUAUAUUAAAGUUGUUGCAGUUAAAAGGCUCGUAGUUGGAUUUGUGGUUCGUCCCGCCGGCUGGGUCAUUGACUUUUGCUGUGCUGGUCGUCCAUCCUUGGGUGGAAUCUGUGUGGCAUUAGGUUGUCGCGCAGGGGAUGCCCAUCGUUUACUGUGAAAAAAUUAGAGUGUUCAAAGCAGGCUUAUGCCGUUGAAUAUAUUAGCAUGGAAUAAUGAUAUAGGACCUUGGUACUAUUUUGUUGGUUUGCGCACUGAGGUAAUGAUUAAUAGGGACAGUUGGGGGUAUUCGUAUUCCAUUGUAAGAGGUGAAAUUCUUGGAUUUUUGGAAGACGAACUACUGCGAAAGCAUUUACCAAGGAUGUUUUCAUUAA
rnacentral:rRNA from 1 species